ACAGACCCAAAAUAAUGCUAACGGCGUAAAGCACGACCAAAUAACAGUCAACCAAUUAGAAACAGAACCCAAACUAGGCUGUAAAAAGCCAUAAGCUACAGUAACCAACAUCUCUAACAACCCGACAAAUUCCACUCGUGAAAGCUGGGACACAAACUAAGAUUAGAUACCUUACUAUGCCCAACCGUAACACAACAAUAUACUACCAAUUGUUCGCCAAAUAACUACGAGUCCAAAACUUAAAAUUUAAAAGACUUGACGGUACCUCACACCAACCUAGAGGAGCCUGUUCAAUAAGCCGAUACCCCACGAUCAACCCAACCCCCCCUAGCCACCAGUCUAUAUACCGCCGUCGCCAGCCUACCUUAUGAAAGAAACAAAGUAAGCUAAACAGCCACACACUAAAACGACAGGUCGAGGUGUAACUAAUGGGGGGGACAGAAUGGGCUACAUUUUCUAACAGAAUACACGGAUAAACUAUGAAAAAGAAACUGAAGGUGGAUUUAGCAGUACACUAGGAACAAAAUACCUAGUAGAAACCCGCAAUGAGGUGCGUACACACCGCCCGUCAUCCCUGUCAACCCAACCAAAAAUUCAUAAACCCCCAUCCAAACUAAAA
rnacentral:rRNA from 1 species